rnacentral:lncRNA from 1 species
CCGCGCGGCAACGCAGGGGCGGAACCGCAUGACUGGACUAUGAGGCAAUUCAGUGGAGGUCAGUUAAGAGAGAUGAUAUCAUACUUAGUAUAUUAUAAUUAGCUGAUUUUUUUCCUACCUUAUGCUGGACUAAUUUUCUAGAGCAGUUUAUAUGAUACUUACUUCUGUAUCCCUACAGACACUGAGGGAUACUGUAUCUCUAAGCACUUAGCAUAGAACCAGUUUGUUUAUUUAUCUACUGUUGUUGCACGUUUGGAUCAUUUCCAGUUUUGAGAUCUAAUGAAUAAUGCUACCAUAAAUAUUCUUGUUACACGUCUUUUUGUGAGCAUAAUUUGAAUUCUUAUCUAGACUCUAUUCCAUUGGUCUAAUCUUAUAGUAGUACAAAAUUGUUGUAAUUAUCACAGCUGUAUAGAAAAUUUUGAAACCAAGUGGUGUAAGUUUUGCUCAUUCUAUGUUACUUGCAUUUACGUGUAAAUUUUAGAACCUGCUCUUCAAUUUUACAAAACACCUGUUUGGAUUUUGAUUGAAAUUGCAUGGAAUCUAGUUUGAUUUAGAGAAAAUAGAUGCCUUCUAAUACAUACACAUGGUAUGUCUCACCAUUUACUUAGGUCUUUAUUAAUUUCUCUCAGAAGUGAUUCGGAGUUUUUAGUGUAGAAGUCUUUUGCUAAAUUUAUCUACAAGUAUUCUGUUUCUUCAUGUUAUUGUAAAUGGAAUGUUAAAAAACUUAAUUUUCAAAUUGUUGCUAGUACAGAGAAAUAAAUUUUAGUUUUUUAUUAUGUCCUUGUAUCCUUCUAUCUUUCUAAAUUCACUUAUUUCUAGUACUUACUUAGUAUAUUCCUUAUGAAUUUCGUGUGUGCAUUUUAUUUCAUUGUCUUGCUUUUUUGGACUUGUUUGAACUUCCAGUACAAUGUUAAAUAGAAGUGAGUACUUCCUUCCUGUGUAAUCUUAGAGGGGAAGUGUUCAGUAUUUCACUGUUAAGUGUGAUGUUAGUUCUAGGGUUUUUUGUAUAUAUGCCUUUUUUUUAUAUUGAGGACAUUUCUUUGCCUAAUUAGCUGAGAGGUUUCUUUGUGAAUUUAUCAAAUGCUUUUCUGUGUCCUUUGAAAUAGUCAUGGUUUUUAUCUUUCAUUUUGUUAACACAGUGAAUUACAUUAAUGGAUUUCCAAGUCUUAAACCAACCUUACAUUCCUGGGAUAAACCCUUUUGUAAUGUAUUAUCCUUUUUAUAUGUAUCUAAAUUUGUUUUGCUAAUACUUUGGUAAAGAAUUUUAUGUCUGUGUUCAUGAGGAAUAUUGUUCUGUGAUUUUCUUUAAUGCCUUUGAAAAACGUUAUCAUCGGGGUUAUGCUAGUCACUUAAAAGCAUUGGGAAGGAUUCCCUUCUCUGUGUCUGAGUUUAUGUUAUUUCUUCCUUAAAUAUUUGAUAAAAUUCACUAUUGAAAUUACCUGGACCUGAGAUUUCCUUUUAUGAAGGUUUUGAUAAUGAAUUCAAUUUCUUUCAUAGAACCAGGAUAUUCAGAUUUUAUAUUUAUUUUUAGGCCAGUUUUGAUAAU